AUUGAACGCUGGCGGCAGGCAUAACACAUGCAAGUCGAGCGGAGCGGCGGACGGGUGAGUAAAGCCUAGGAAUCUGCCUGGUAGUGGGGGAUAACGUACGGAAACGGGCGCUAAUACCGCAUACUAUCAGAUGAGCCUAGUGCGGAUUAGCUAGUUGGUGGGGUAAAGGCCGACCAAGGCGACGAUCCGUAACUGGUCUGAGAGGAUGAUCAGUCAAACUGGAACUGAGAAACGGUCCAGACUCCUACGCGAGGCAGCAGUGGGGAUGAUUUGACAAUGGGCGAAAGCCUGAUCCAGCCAUGCCGCGUGUGUGAAGAAGGUCUUCGGAUUGUAAAGCACUUUAAGUUGGGAGGCGUUACCAACAGAAUAAGCACCGGCUAACUUCGUGCCAGCAGCGGCGGUAAUAC
rnacentral:rRNA from 1 species